GUCAUCUCCGUCGCCGCCCCCUCCCCUCCGUCACGGGCCCAUCCCCACGGUAGCGGGAAUCGGCCGGGGCGUCGCUGGGAUCGCCGGGAGCAUCUCUUCUGUGGACGUCGAUCUGAACGGCGUGAAAGUGUGGAGCCUGGAUGUUCUGAUUGGCAUUCAGAAUUUACUGAUGCAGGCGCCAGCAAGAGUCCUCAAGGCAGCAAGUCCACUGACAGGUACAAUGACCACAAAAGGAGCAGGAAGCAAUCGUAUGAUGAUCCCCAUCUUGAAGGGCGCUAUUCCACUGCACACAAAUCACCAAGAAAAGAGCGCAGCACUAAAAGAAGCUCCAGGCGUUCCACAAGAGAAGUCGUAGUAGUCGUGAUUCGUGAUUGAGGCAGCUGAAUAUCUGGGCAUCUGGCCACUGGCAACUCUGGGUUUUGGACGAUCGAAUGCCGUAUAGAUGGCACUACCUCAUGUAGUAGUCAUUUGCCAGCUUUGUUUUCUACUGCUUUUUUUUCCCUUUCCUCUUUGCUGAUGAGAGAUUCUUUACUGGAGAGAGCUCUCUUGCGAUGCAGAAGGCUUAUAAUUUUUUUUCUUCUAAUCUAGAGUUAUUGAUACUAUAUGGGAACGAUGUUAUGGUGAUGUCAAUGAGGGGUGUUAGCCGGACUC